CCUACGGGAGGCAGCAGUGGGGAAUAUUGGGCAAUGGAGGCAACUCUGACCCAGCAACGCCGCGUGAAUGAUGAAGGUUUUCGGAUUGUAAAGUUCUUUUCUAAGGGAAGUAGAAAGUGACGGUACCUUAGGAAUAAGCCUCGGCUAACUACGUGCCAGCAGCCGCGGUAAUACGUAGGAGGCAAGCGUUAUCCGGAAUCACUGGGCGUAAAGGGUGCGUAGGUGGUUUGACAAGUUAGUAGCGAAAUUCCGGGGCUCAACCUCGGAACUACUACUGAAACUGUUGGACUUGAGUGCAGGAGAGGCAGUCGGAAUUCGUGGUGUAGCGGUGAAAUGCAUAGAUAUUAGGAAGAACACCAAUGGCGAAGGCAGAUUGCUAGACUGUAACUGACACUGAGGCACGAAAGCGUGGGGAGCAAACAGGAUUAGAUACCCUAGUAGUC
rnacentral:rRNA from 1 species